GAAUGAAACACGCACCCUACCUUUUCGCAGUUUAUGGAAGUUCAGAAAUCCUAGAUAAUUUUUGCAUCUACCAUUGUUGGAAUCUCUUGGCUUCAUUCUAAUUGGAAAAUUAUAGAUAUGUCUGGCCAAUUAAGUAUCCAAGAGUCAAGAAAGCGUGCAAGUGAAAAUGAUGAUGAUAUAUAUUAUUGUUUGUCAGCUGUUAGUUUCAUUAUAAUAGUGGUAGGAGUGUGGUAUUGUCAAAAAUAUAGGUUGAGGGAGGUGUUUUGGAAGGAAUCAAUACGUGCUCAAAAGAGGGCAUUUUGGAUGAAUGACUUGAAGAAUGAUAGAAUAUGUCGAGAUCAAUUGCGACUUGACAUAAGGUGUUUUGACAAGUUAUGUAAUAUAUUGCAGUUCGAAGGGGGUUAAAGACUAGUAAAUAUGUUAUGAUAAAAGAAAUUGUUGCAAUGUUUCUACAUAUCCUUUCACAUGAUUUGAAGAAUAGGGUAUUACAAGAAAUCUUUGCUUGGUUGGGAGAGUGAUACAAAUGUGCCAAGUGUAUCAAAUGUUCAAGACCUUGCAAACAACCUACAGGUACAAGACAAUGUUUCUGACUUGUCAUUUACGCCAAUUGCACAUGAAGGGCGGAACCAGGUCAAGGAUGCUUUCCAAAGACCAAACAUGAUCUCAAGACACUAUAUUGGGAACAAGGAAACCAAGACAAUAAUAAGGAACAACAGCAUACACUUGGAAAUGGGAACAACCAGCAGGACCAAGGCCAUAGGACUUUCUGACGACCAGCAGACCUUGCUGAGUCUCUUGAAUGCAAGCUAGACCCAUCUAGACCCUGAGCAAACUUGGGACGUCAUCCUUACACAUGGACCAAGCCAUCAAGGGUCCAGGACCUCUCUAACAGUCCACGAAGAAUCCUAGAGACUAAGUGGAAGAAGUGUUGCUCGACAGUUUUGCUGAGUAAAAAUUUGUCUAAGUAUUUUUAUUUCUGUUUUCUGUUUGGGCGCCUUGUAAGCCUUUGUAUUUAGCAAGUGUUCUUUAAUUAAGCGUGUGAUUAGUUUUAGCCGUUAAGGUAGUUGAGUGCUCUAUAUAAAGAGAGCCUCAUCCCAUGUAAUAAACGUUCAAGCAUGUGAUUUCAUUUUGAUUCAAUACAAGUGAGGUAUUUCAGAAA